rnacentral:lncRNA from 1 species
UUUGUUUAUUUUUAUGUGGUGCUGAGGAUCAAACCCAGGGCCCCUGCACGUGUGAGGCAAGCACAGUACCACUGAGCCACAACCCCAGCCACCCCAAUUAUUUUUCCCAUCUUUUACAUGAGUUUUUUUUUUUUUUUUUUAAUAAAAAGUAUCACACUAUAUUUAGUUUUACAUCUUGCUUUCAUCACUUAACCCUAUGGGAUAAGCAUUUUAUCUUGCCAUGAAAAGUUAUUUGAGCUGCUGUAAACAGUAUGGCUGUAUCACUGUAGUAUGUAGUCCUUUUGAUAAAGAAAAUGUUUAUAUACACAGUGAAAUAUUACUUAGCCCUAAAAAAUAAUGGUAAAUCGAUAGAUCUGGAGACUAUCAUCCUAAGUGAAAUAAGCCAGUCCCAAAAAACCAAAGGCUGAAUGCUCUCUUUGAUAUGUGGAUGCUAACCCAUAAAAAAGGGGAAGACGGAAGAAUAGAUCAGUUCAGUAGAUUGGACAAAGGAAAAUGAAGAGAAGGGAGAGGGGUGGGAAUAGAAAUGACAGUGGAAUGAAUCAGACAUAACUUUCAUAUGUUUAUAUGUGAAUAUACCACCAGUGAAACUUCAUAUCAUGUACAACCACAAGAAGAGAUAAUUAAAGUUAAUUGAUAUUCCAUGUAUGUAUAAUAUGUCAAAAAUACACUCUACUGCUAUGUAUAUCUAAAACAAAAUUUUUUAAUGAAACAUUCAGAUUUAAAA